rnacentral:lncRNA from 1 species
CAAACAAGGAGCGUAUUGCUGACACAGCAACACUGUGGUCUCAGACUGUGGGAAAUGUCAAAUUUAUGGUCCUGGGGGUGAUUGGUGGAUGGUUUUGUGGUGUGUAUGGUGUUUUGUUUUGUUUUGUGUGUGCUUUUUCUUUUCUCUUUUGAGUCUCUGACAGAAACAGAGCUCUACAAACUUUCUGGCGACCUCCCAGGAAAACAGAAGGAAGCUGUAUCCUGUACUUCCCCUGGGAUCUAAUGAAAUAUACAGCCUCUGGGCUUCUUUCAAUUUGGACUUUCAGAUCGCUAAGCCAGUGAAAAGGGGAUCCUAGCUGUCACAAACGUCACAUGGUCAGGGUCACCUGCUGCUCGGGGGUUCUCAUGCCAGUUGUUGACAUAAUAAGCCCCCCUUACACUUUAAUUACAAUUCACAGUGUGCAAACUAUGCAAUCUGCUUUAAGGCAGACUGUCUUUUAAAUCAACACUAAAAUUCUACUACUAAUAUGGCAAUGCAAUGUAGCAGAGGAAGGGUGUGUCCACAUGACUAACUAUAUGCAGAUAUCUGCCGUUUGGGAGACAGUGGGUAGCAUUUGCCAAAAUAUAAAAUGGUGUUGCUGACCCCAAUUCUGGGAGAUGGUACUUGAAUCUUACUGUGCUCUGAGACUUCUUUCCAUAGGCCACAAAAAGGUAAUGCAAUAUACUUCAUGUGUAGCAUUUUACAUUUGUAUAACUACUAUUUUUUUUCACAUGGCUCCAUAACUGUUCUAUGUACUAAUCUUGCCUAUCCAACAGAAGGAGUGUUGAAGAACAGUGAAUUUCUACUUCCCUAUUUCUUCCCCUUUAAACCUAGGGCAGUGCCAGUGAUGUUUAACACAUGCUUCUAGAGUUGUGUCAAUGCUCUAUCAUUUACUGGAUCCUUGUAUUUUGCUAACUACAGACCUGUGUAAGCUAUAUUUUUGCAAUCAAAACAUGAAAGGUCAUUUUAAAACAGAGCCCAUUUAAAAUGAUAUGACAAUGCAGGGAGCUGUUUAAAAAGUGCUAACACAUAAUUAUAGUCUACAGUUUUCUCCAAAAACAACAGUGGAAAUUAGUUACAAUUCUAUUACAGACAACUGCUAUAAACUUAGGUGGGCUAACCUCUGAAUGAACUAUCCCAGUACUCUGGGAAUUGCAAUCUCAUUUUCAGUGCCACAAAUGACGUAAGAUGGAACACACAAAACAAACCCACACAAAGUACUUUAUGUUUAUGAAGUCUUACUCAAACACCUUAGCUGAGCUAACCAGUAUGUCUCACUGUAAAACACCACCACCACCAGUAACAACAAAAUAAAUAAUCAAACAAAAUAGAAGAAAUCCAAAUAGAAAAAAAAAGUUUUAAAAAUAAUAAUGCCUAUACUUGCUUUAAUGAAGGAUGUACCUGAAUUACAAAUGCCAUCAUGACAGAUUAAAUUAGCCAAUAAUUAGUCACUGCUUUAUUUUUUUUUAGUGUCAAACAAUGGUAGAUACCAAGACAAGUAACAACAAAAGGCAAAAGAGUUUAUUUUAUUUAGACGUGGUCAUUCUAACAUAAGGAGAAGAUGCAUUUUCCUUUCAAAAAUUGAGGUCUCUUUGGGCAAACUUUCAGUCCUUUGGCUAUUAGGGUUUGUCUUCAUGAAGGCAGACAUAAAGCAAUUCUGUUCUCUUCCUUAUUUGAACACUUUCAGUCUUCACCUGGCUCUCUGCCACCCCAGCUAAACCACUUGACCUCUGAUUACAUAACAGUCCCCAUCUGUGAGCUCAGCCAUCCUCAGGAGAUAGGAGGGGCCAUGAGAAGCUCAAGUUCACCAUGAGCCACAGCAGUAAGCCAUGCUUUAGCCUCUGACCUGUGCUCCAAUUUUGGUACAAUGAUUUCUGCCAUGUUCUCCAACAGGGUGAGGAAACAGACAGCACUAAGAGAAAAAGCUGGAACUCAAAACCAAAUUAACUCCAAACUUAAGUUUUCCCACUUCGACAAGAAAAGGAACUGCAUGUGUUUUUCUGCCUCUUGCAGAUGUAUGUCAUAAAAGUUGGAUGCCUUCCUUUCAAGACAUUUGAAUGGAUCACCAAAUAAUUACCUACUUUUCUCUCACAACUCAGAUAAAUAAUUAAAAGGAGAUAUACACAGAUUGGUUGCAUACUUAAGAGUGAGAAUCAAUUAAAACAAAAUUGUAUGCAUGUUCUUCUAAUAAUAUAUCCCUACAGGGACCAUGAGAUGCUACCUUUACAUUUGUAAAAUUACUGAGGUCAGAUCAGAGCCUUAAUGCUAUUUCUCCAUGAGCAUUCAGAAGUGGUUGUGCAUAGGCGUUAUGUGGAAUUGGGGCUGGGGAAGAUUUAAUUGGCAAUUUUUUAGUUAUUUAGUUUUAGUUAUGCCCCAGAAACCAGAAAUGGUCACUGAAUAUUUAUUGAGCAUGCCUAGAGUGGAAGUUUCUUAUUUAAGUUGGUAUUUAAGUUGGGACUGCAGUAAGGGGCAUCUUUCACAAAGAAACGUUUUGGGAUUACCUUUAAAUAACAUUUAAAUCCCCUUCAUUAAUUGUCUCAGAGCUCUCCGGUGCAACUUAACAAUAGGAAGCAGCUGUGCUCCAAACAAAAGAACACACAGCUCUGGGAAGAUGCCACCAUUUGAGAAAUCACACAUCAUAAGGAAAGGUUGUUACUUCUAAUUUAGUUCUGUGGACCAAUUCAAGUUUGGGGGUUCCAGAAAGCCUGAAACCCUACCUCUCAGGGCUGUGUUUUAAUAUUAGGGAACUGUCUAAUUUGUGCUUCAGGAAGUUCUGUGCAUUUUUACGAAAUCCAUCUCACCGAAGCCUUUUAGUUAAAAGGCUUGCGUAAUUGUGCACACAGAUAAAAACUGCACUCAUGAUAUUACAUAUUUUACUGCAUUCUCCCUUGAAUCUAUCUGCCCAUUAUUAUGGUUAAUUAUGCAGAGGUUUGGUUCUCUAGCUGGAGGGACAGCUAGUUGAGGGUGAGCUAGUUGAGGACCUUUAUUUUUUUCCCUGCACCUAGUUCAGUAGCUGACAUAGAAGGGCUUGGUAAAUGCUGGCUCAAUUAGAUUUUUCAGAACUUUCUCAGACUAAUGUUUGCUUAUCACCGCACACAUGUACAAGAACUACUUGAAACUCUUGAAAAGGAAAUUUAGUCCUUUAAGGGUUCAGAAAUAACAAUGAAAGAUAACAUUCUCACCAAAAAACAAAAAAGCUCAAAACCAGGAAACACUUGAUACAGGAGCUCAUGAGAAUACUUAUUCUCUCAUUUAUUAAACUAAGAAAGUUCUCAGGAUCAUGUUGGCAGUAGACCAUUUCUGGCCCUGAGAUGAAUGCCCUUUUUCCAAGUUAAAACCAUGGCCCAGCUGUGAAAUAAUGAUGGCUGCAAGGAACCCAAUGGUGGCAGCAAACUCAACUCAAAG